GCCUAAGUAGCUCAGUCGGUUAAAGCAUCUGACUUUGGCUCAGGUCAUGAUCUCACAGUUCGUGGGUUCAAGCCCUGCACUGGGCU
rnacentral:tRNA from 1 species